rnacentral:lncRNA from 1 species
UGACUGCCAGAUAAAGAUUAUGAAGAUGAGAGUUGACAAAAAACAUUUAAGUAGAAAAAAAAACAUUUAAGUAGAAUCUCCACUUUUUAUAAAGUGCUGCCCUAAUGAGGCUAAUUUCUGACUGUGUGCACUACACUUCCCACUUAUACCUGAGUCCCUUUAGGAAAAGAUAAACUUGAAAAGAUCAAAAUCCCAAUAGUUAAGUGGGGAAAAGGUACAAAACAAAUAGACCAUAUAGGAAUACCAAUAGCUAUUAAAAACAUGAAAACAUCCCCAGUCUUUA